UCUAAGUACUGGUCAGCAUCUGUGGUGAUACGGGGGUGUUAAUGGGUAGCCGGAGUUAUGGUGGUGAAAGCGAGCGCAGGCGGUUUUUUAAGUAGUAUGUGAAAGCCCUCGGCGUAACCGAGGAAGCGCAUCGGAAACUGGGAAACUUGAGUGCAGAAGAGGACAGUGGAACUCCAUGUGUAGCGGUGAAAUGCGUAGAUAUAUGGAAGAACACCAGUGGCGAAGGCGGCUGUCUGGUCUGUAACUGACGCUGAGGCUCGAAAGCAUGGGUAGCGAACAGGAUUAGAUACCCCUGUAGUC
rnacentral:rRNA from 1 species